GAUGAACGCUGGCGGCGUGCCUAAUACAUGCAAGUCGAGCGAACAGACGAGGAGCUUGCUCCUAUGACGUUAGCGGCGGACGGGUGAGUAACACGUGGAUAACCUACCUAUAAGACUGGGAUAACUUCGGGAAACCGGAGCUAAUACCGGAUAACAUGUUGAACCGCAUGGUUCAACAGUGAAAGACGGUCUUGCUGUCACUUAUAGAUGGAUCCGCUCCGCAUUAGCUAGUUGGUAAGGUAACGGCUUACCAAGGCAACGAUGCGUAGCCGACCUGAGAGGGUGAUCGGCCACACUGGAACUGAGACACGGUCCAGACUCCUACGGGAGGCAGCAGUAGGGAAUCUUCCGCAAUGGGCGAAAGCCUGACGGAGCAACGCCGCGUGAGUGAAGAAGGUCUUCGGAUCGUAAAGCUCUGUUAUUAGGGAAGAACAAAUGUGUAAGUAACUAUGCACGUCUUGACGGUACCUAAUCAGAAAGCCACGGCUAACUACGUG
rnacentral:rRNA from 1 species